CAGUGUUAUCUGUUCAUACCUGUUCAGCACUAUCUGUAAAUUCAACAUAGAAGGAAGGACAUGAGCUGCAGAAGCACCACCAGGCCCAUAGGAAGCUUACUGGGAUAUAAAAUCUAUUUCUACAUCAAAGAAAAAAUGAAAAUGUUAUAGCAGAGGGCAUGAGGAUAUAGGACCUUUGGCUCUAUGGACCCCCAACAUUGUGAAUAUAAGAAUAAAAAACAAGUGAAGCCAAACACUGGUAUGCUCCAGCAGAGUCCUGUGGCCCAAUAUCCUGAGCUCAGGUCUACAACUCAGAAACUCAUGGAUUUCUGGUCCCUGCCAAACCACUGCUUUUGGUAA
rnacentral:lncRNA from 1 species